CCCACUGGCUUCCUUCCUUUCUCUUAGAUGAGCAUUCUAAGCAGGUCUCCUCUGCGCCUAUCCGUUACCUUGCCUGGCCUUGGCCUGGGCCUCACUGUCUGGGCUCUCCUCAUCCUAAUUGUAAAGUUUGGGAAUGUGAUUGGCCCAGCCUGGCCCCUGGAGUGGUUCCCUCUGAGGCAGGUGCCCGCCUCUGGCCAGUCAGCUGGAUGAGGAGGAGCUGAUGCCUAAAUGGGCCUCAGUCACCUUCCCGGCCCACGCUGGGGUCAAGUAGACACGGACUAAGCAGGUACCCAAGAAGGAGCCUACGUCCCUUUGGCCUGUCCUGGGGAUGAGGAGGAGGCCAGCUGGGUCAUUUUUCUGCCUCACCAUUUCUCAGUGCCAAGCAUCAUCAAGGGUCAAAGGCACCAGCCUAGCCUCGCAGGUACCGUGCCUCUUACCAUAUGGGACAACACUGUUUACCAUGCUGGUCUCACUGCUCAGAUCAACAAAUUCUAGCUUCGGGGGCAACUGACUCUACCUUCCAAGAUGAGGAAACUGAGGCCCCAAGAGGAAGAAUCACACGUGCAAACUCAGGACCCUGGCUUUCGAAGAGCACUGGUCGGGUCUGCCGUAGGAUGCUCCUGAGGCUUUGUUCCAGGUUUCUCAUGAUUAGACCCAGGUUGUGGAUUAAGGAGAAUGUCACAGAGGACUGGAGCCCUCCUCACCCUUCAUCCCCAGCUCGCGGCUCGGAACCUUCCAUUCUGUGCUGGACUGACUCGGAAAUACUUUGAAGAGAACGCAAGUUUUGCAUAUAUACACAAGACCUGUUGAAUAAUCAGCCUGCAGUACACUUCAGGUACAGUUUGAUCCGCCUCAGAGAAAGCGGGCUUUUGAUCCAAAAAAGAGCUAGUUUUGAAAACCAGUAUAAAAUAAAAGUCCUGGAAUAGUCUAGCAUCUGACAAUUUACCAAGCCUCACUUUUUAUAAAUUAGGGGUGUUUUGAGGAUUUGAGAUAACGGAGGGGAAGUUUUUAGCACUGUGCCUGAAAAAUAAUUUGAUAAAUGGGAAGGCUCUUCAUAACAAUGAUAAAUAUCCAUUGACCAGUUACUAUGUCAGGCACAGGGCUCAACAGUUUACAUGUAUUAUUUAUUUUAAUCCCCACAAUAACUAUGAGUUAGAUGCUUUUAGUAUCACCCCCACUUUACAGGUGAUGAAAUCCAGUCUCAGAGAAUUCAAAAAACACAUCUCAAGUUCACACAGAAAGUUGAUGGAGCUGAGGUUCAAGCCCAGGCAGCCCGACAUCAAUGGCUCCAUGAUAAACACACAGCACGCACGGGUGCUCACUAAUCCCUGGCAAUAGCUCGAAAGCCUUCCAGAAUUCUAUAGCCCUCAGGUUGGGAGCUUCUGCUGCAGACUACACAGAGACCUUUGGCUUUUUAUGAAAUAUUUCUGACAUCAGCAGGCUUUGGUACUUAUUUUUAUAACUUUAUAGCGAGAGGAAGACAGAUAAAAAGGCACAGAGAUUCACGCAGUUACCCAGAACAAACAUGGAAUAAGACACUUGGCAGGCAGAGUGUAACUGUUUAGAAACAGUCAUUGGGCAAUGCUUCACCCCACAAACACUGUCUUGGGGUGCCCAUUGGAGAAUGACUAUCCAGUCAUCCAUUUUUUAAAAAGAUCUUAUUUUAUUUGAGAGAGAGAGAGAGUCAGUGAAAGAGAGAAAAAAAAAAAAAAAAAAAACCACGAGCGGAGGGUAGGGCAGAGGGGGAAGCAGACUCCCCGCUGAGCAGGGAGCCCAAUGCGCACUUGAUUCCAGGACCCUGGGAUCAUGACCCGAGCCAAAGGCAGACGCUUAACCAUCUGAGCCACCCAGGUGCCCCAGUCACCAUUUCUUAGAUCUCACAAAACUUCCUAAAAAGUCUGAAGGGAACAAACCACGUGCAACCCUCCCCACAAACAACAACAAAAAUGGGGCUUCUCCUUAAUAAAAAUAAAAGUGGGGGGUGAUCUGCUGAAAACUGUUUUCUGCUUUAGCAUAAAAGAUGCCAAAAAUUUCCUCUGGUCUCUCCUCCAGAGGGUAAGAAGGGAUGGAAGGGCUUUCCUCCAGGACCCACCCCUGGUCCACCCCCACAGGUGAACUGUUUUGAGUUUCUAAGUUCUGGCCGUGCUUCGGGGCAAUUCAACAUCUCUUCUAAAAGGAGUUACCCGGAUAUUUGGGACCUGGGACUGAGAAUGAAGCGCUGGCUCCAACAGUGGGUGACCUGGGACCCUAACAGGCAAGGCCCACAGGUGACUGGGCCCUGUCUGGUUGGUGUAGGGGGAGUGGUGCCCACAGCCCCUCACUGCUUGGGGCAGGGGCAGGAGAGCCCCUGGGCAGCUGGAGUGCAGCAUCAGAGUGGCAGGACAGAGGCAUCACAUGACCGCCUCUAGACUUUGAAACUCUUGUCCCCACCUUGGGAGUUAAAGUCAAGUAGGUUCACUUCUCUCAGAUUUUAGAAGCUUCGGCUAUUCUUGAAAGGCCCAAAGUGGUCAGAGUGGCAGGGGGGUAAGGCACGGCCCACAAGAGGUGAUCCUGGGCUCUCUGCUCAUCCAGGUGCUCGAGUCAGCAGGUGCUUGAGACCGUUUAUAUUCAACUUGGAUAAAACAUUUUAAUACCCUGCGAGUUUGUUCCCAGUUUCAGAAGUAUACAAUGGCCUCCUGCCACAUCCACCCCGCCACCACCUCCAGGGGAGGAUGAGUGCUGGAAUGGGGACUUGGCAAGACUCAGCACUCCUGGUCACCGAGUUUUUCUGGUCCCCAUCACCCAUCCGUGCUUAAUUCACGGGAACCCACAAAGCCCCUUUGUGUGGGGCCAGCCGGAGCCUGGGCAGUUGGAAGGGCCUGGGCUGGCGCUGUCCUCGGAGUUAGCAGACAGAGGUACAUCUACUGAUGAGGCUGAAGCCAGAAAAAACAGGUCUAGGAGGAAAAAUAACCUGCCACCAAAAAGCGCCAGUCUUAUGGAAGAGGAGUAUCGCAUUUGACGAUCACUCAGGCAACACAACGGGACUUUCAUUAUUCAUUGUUUCAAGACAAAAGAUCUUUCUGUUCUGCUUCAUACUGAACCAUUUUUAAAUUACCUGGAGAUGGAAACCAGUUUUGAGAGCCCUAGGAACAACGUCUGUUGGUAGCUUGCACCCACCUGUAACCAGGGCUUAGCUCUUCAGCCAAGACGGCCAAGGCUAAUCCAAAUCCCUCAAGAAGGCACAGCGAAUAAAGCCAAUUUUGCUGAAGAUUUCACCGGAAGAUGGAAGACAGGGUGGCAUUGGGCACCCCAGAGCACAACUUACACAAAUGCUGAUCAGACUCCUCCUACCCCAGAAAUUUCCAUCUUCGCUUCUGGCUUCCGUCUCCUGUUGCCCCCUCGCCCCUGCCCAGCACCCAACUCCCUGGUCCUCAUCUUCCCUUCUCCUCACCCCCCACCUCUCCCCAGCUCCCCAACCCCCAACCCCCCUCCCCCGCCUCUCGGCAGAGCAAUGUAGAGAUGGCCUGGCUCCCCCCACUGUGCCAGCAUCACCCCUCCCAGCAAAUAGAAGCCCCUCUUUCCGGAGCUUGAGCAUCUACUCUCCUUGGUUUGGGUUGUGGGGCACAUAGAGAAAUAAUUUCUCCCUGUUAUGGAAGCUUUUUCUAUUCCCUUUGACAUCAGUAAACAAAAAUACCAUUUAUCCGUCUGCCAAAUCUUCGAACAUGAACUCAGUCUGUAGAAUUCCAAGGCAGAAGACAGUGGUGAGAGAGGCAAGGCUGGAGAAUCAAGUGACAAUGCGCUUCUGCGGGGCGGGCUCCCGGCUUUGGUCUGGUGGCCUGGCUUCAGCCUCGGGUGGGGCCUCAUUCA